rnacentral:rRNA from 1 species
CCUGCCUGUAAGGGGAUAACUCCGGGAAACCGGGGCUAAUACCGGAUGCUUGGAACCGCAUGGUUCAAUUUAGUCUAUAAAAGGUGGCUUUUAGCUACCACUUACAGAUGGACCCGCGGCGUAGCUAGUUGGGGAGGACGGCUCACCAAGGCAACGAUGCGUAGCCGACCUGAGAGGGUGAUCGGCCACACUGGGACUGAAACACGGCCCCCUACGGGAGGCAGCAGUAGGGAAUCUUCCGCAAUGGACGAAAGUCUGACGGAGCACCGCCGCGGGAGUGAUGAAGGUUUUCGGAUCGUAAACUGUUGUUAGGGAACAAGUACCGUUCGAAUAGGGGGGUACCUUGAUACCUAACCAAGCCACGGCUAACUACGUGCCAGCAGCCUAAUACGUAGGUGGCAAGCGUUGUCCGGAAUUAUUGGGCGUAAAGCGCGCGCAGGCGGUUCUUAAGUCUGAUGUGAAAGCCCCCGGCUCAACCCGGGGGUACGUCGAGGGUCAUUGGAAACUGGGGAUUGAGUGCAGAAGAAGAGUGGAAUUCCACGUGGCGGUGAAAUGCGUAGAGAUGUGGAGGAACAAAGCAUGUCCAGUGGCGAAGGCGACUCUCUGGUCUGUAACUGACGCUGAGGCGCGAAAGCGUGGGGAGCGAACAGGAUUAGAUACCCUGGUAGUCGCCGUAAACGAUGAGUGCUAAGUGUUAGAGGGUACGUGGUUUCCGCCCUUUAGUGCUGCAGCAAACGCAUUAAGCACGCCUGGGGAGUACGGUCGCAAGACUGAAACUCAAAGGAAUUGACGGGAGCAUUACGGCGGUACGUCCGCACAAGCGGUGGAGCAUGUGGUUUAAUUCGAAGCAAGAAGAACCUUACCAGGUCUUGACAUCCUCUGACAACCCUAGAGAGGGCUUCCCCUUCGGGGCAGAGUGACAGGUGGUGCAUGGUUGUCGUCAGCUCGUGUCGUGAGUUGGGUUAAGUCCCGCAACGAGCGCAACCCUUGAUUAGUCUCUUAGUUGCCAGCCAGUUGGGCACUCUAAGGUGACUGCCGGUGACAAACCGGAGGAAGGUGGGGAUGACGUCAAAUCAUCAUGCCCCUUAUGACCUGGGCUAACGUGCUACAAUGGGCAGAACAAAGGGCAGCGAAGCCGCGAGGCUAAGCCAAUCCCACAAAUCUGUUAGUUCGGAUCGCAGUCUGCAACUCGACUGCGUGAAGCCAGUCACUGGAAGCUAGUAA